rnacentral:rRNA from 1 species
GCUUAACGCGAAGAACCUUACCCACCUUUGACAUGGCAGGAACUUACCAGAGAUGGUUUGGUGCUCGAAAGAGAACCUGCACACAGGUGCUGCAUGGCUGUCGUCAGCUCGUGUCGUGAGAUGUUGGGUUAAGUCCCGCAACGAGCGCAACCCUUGCCAUUAGUUGCUACAUUCAGUUGAGCACUCUAAUGGGACUGCCGGUGACAAACCGGAGGAAGGUGGGGAUGACGUCAAGUCCUCAUGGCCCUUAUAGGUGGGGCUACACACGUCAUACAAUGGCUGGUACAAAGGGUUGCCAACCCGCGAGGGGGAGCUAAUCCCAUAAAGCCAGUCGUAGUCCGGAUCGCAGUCUGCAACUCGACUGCGUGAAGUCGGAAUCGCUGGUAAUCGUGGAUCAGAAUGUCACGGUGAAUACGUUCCCGGGUCUUGUACACACCG